rnacentral:rRNA from 1 species
AUUGAACGCUGGCGGCAGGCCUAACACAUGCAAGUCGAACGAGUGGCGGACGUGUUAGUAAUGUCUGGGCAACUGCCUGAUGGAGGGGGAUCACUACUGGAAACGGUAGCUAAUACCGCAUACCAUCGGAUGUGCCCAGAUGGGAUUAUCUAGUAGGUGGGGUAACGGCUCACCUAGGCGACGAUCCCGAGCUGGUCUGAGAGGAUGACCAGCCACACUGGAACUGAGACAAGGUCCAGACUCCUAAGGGAGGCAGCAGUGGGGAAUAUUGCAAAAUUGGCGCAAGACUGAUGCAGCCAUGGCGCGUGUAUGAAGAAGGCCUUCGGGUUGUAAAGUACUUUCAGCGGGGAGGCGUUACCCGCAGAAGAAGCACCGGCUAACUCCGUGCCAGCAGCCGCGGUAAUAC